rnacentral:rRNA from 1 species
UGGGUUUGAUCCUGGCUCAGAUUGAACGCUGGCGGCAGGCUUAACACAUGCAAGUCGAGCGGAGAGAGGUAGCUUGCUACUGAUCUUAGCGGCGGACGGGUGAGUAAUGCUUAGGAAUCUGCCUAUUAGUGGGGGACAACAUUUCGAAAGGAAUGCUAAUACCGCAUACGUCCUACGGGAGAAAGCAGGGGAUCUUCGGACCUUGCGCUAAUAGAUGAGCCUAAGUCGGAUUAGCUAGUUGGUGGGGUAAAGGCCUACCAAGGCGACGAUCUGUAGCGGGUCUGAGAGGAUGAUCCGCCACACUGGGACUGAGACACGGCCCAGACUCCUACGGGAGGCAGCAGUGGGGAAUAUUGGACAAUGGGCGCAAGCCUGAUCCAGCCAUGCCGCGUGUGUGAAGAAGGCCUUAUGGUUGUAAAGCACUUUAAGCGAGGAGGAGGCUACUUUAGUUAAUACCUAGAGAUAGUGGACGUUACUCGCAGAAUAAGCACCGGCUAACUCUGUGCCAGCAGCCGCGGUAAUACAGAGGGUGCAAGCGUUAAUCGGAUUUACUGGGCGUAAAGCGCGCGUAGGCGGCUAAUUAAGUCAAAUGUGAAAUCCCCGAGCUUAACUUGGGAAUUGCAUUCGAUACUGGUUAGCUAGAGUGUGGGAGAGGAUGGUAGAAUUCCAGGUGUAGCGGUGAAAUGCGUAGAGAUCUGGAGGAAUACCGAUGGCGAAGGCAGCCAUCUGGCCUAACACUGACGCUGAGGUGCGAAAGCAUGGGGAGCAAACAGGAUUAGAUACCCUGGUAGUCCAUGCCGUAAACGAUGUCUACUAGCCGUUGGGGCCUUUGAGGCUUUAGUGGCGCAGCUAACGCGAUAAGUAGACCGCCUGGGGAGUACGGUCGCAAGACUAAAACUCAAAUGAAUUGACGGGGGCCCGCACAAGCGGUGGAGCAUGUGGUUUAAUUCGAUGCAACGCGAAGAACCUUACCUGGCCUUGACAUAGUAAGAACUUUCCAGAGAUGGAUUGGUGCCUUCGGGAACUUACAUACAGGUGCUGCAUGGCUGUCGUCAGCUCGUGUCGUGAGAUGUUGGGUUAAGUCCCGCAACGAGCGCAACCCUUUUCCUUAUUUGCCAGCGAGUAAUGUCGGGAACUUUAAGGAUACUGCCAGUGACAAACUGGAGGAAGGCGGGGACGACGUCAAGUCAUCAUGGCCCUUACGGCCAGGGCUACACACGUGCUACAAUGGUCGGUACAAAGGGUUGCUACCUAGCGAUAGGAUGCUAAUCUCAAAAAGCCGAUCGUAGUCCGGAUUGGAGUCUGCAACUCGACUCCAUGAAGUCGGAAUCGCUAGUAAUCGCGGAUCAGAAUGCCGCGGUGAAUACGUUCCCGGGCCUUGUACUCACCGCCCGUCACACCAUGGGAGUUUGUUGCACCAGAAGUAGCUAGCCUAACUGCAAAGAGGGCGGUUACCACGGUGUGGCCGAUGACUGGGGUGAAGUCGUAACAAGGUAGCCAA